GGUUCAUUCAAAUUUCUGCCCUAUCAACUUUCGACGGCUGGGUCUUGGCAAGCCAUGGUGACAACGGGUAACGGAGGGUUAGGGCUCGACCCCGGAGAAGGAGCCUGAGAAACGGCUACUACAUCCAAGGAAGGCAGCAGGCGCGCAAAUUACCCAAUCCCGACCGGGGAGGUAGUGACAAUAAAUACUGAUACAGGGCUCUUUUGGGUCUUGUAAUUGGAAUGAGUACAAUUUAAAUCCCUUAACGAGGAACAAUUGGAGGGCAAGUCUGGUGCCAGCAGCCGCGGUAAUUCCAGCUCCAAUAGCGUAUAUUAAAGUUGUUGAGGUUAAAAAGCUCGUAGUUG
rnacentral:rRNA from 1 species